UACGAGAGGCCCAAACGUUAUUCGGAAUUACUGGGCUUAAAGAGUUCGUAGGCGGCAUGAAAAGUAGGGUGUGAAAGCCCUCGGCUCAACCGAGGAAUUGCGCUCUAAACUGUCGUGCUCGAGGAACCUAGAGGUGAGCAGAACAGAUGGUGGAGCGGUGAAAUGCGUUGAUAUCAUCUGGAACGCCAAUGGUGAAAACAGGUAGCUGGGGCUGUGCUGACACUGAGACACGAAAGCCAGGGGAGCAAACGGG
rnacentral:rRNA from 1 species